CAGUCACAGCAAGCUCACUUCACAGGAACCAAGCUGUGGGCUGAUCCUACAGACUUGAAAAGACAACUCAAAAAGGUUGGCUGUGAUAGGUGUCCCUGGCCACGUCAGUGGAGCACCCAGGCCUCAAGCAGCAUGCUGGGGAAGGGAAAACCCCCCAUUCUGGUGAUGGAGGUGGCCAUGACCAUGUCUGGUUUUCAAAGGCAGCUUUGUAAGAACAGAAACCAGCAGCUCCCCAACAUCUGGCCCUAUCUGCUGUGCAAACCACAGGGACCAGGACCUUUCCGGGGUGCCAGUGGCAUCCUCUGGAACCAGCUUCUCAGUGGAAUUUCAGAUGCUAUUCCUGGUCAAUUGCCUUUGCUAUGUGCUAUCCUUUAAUAAAUUCUGUUUCUCCUCAUA
rnacentral:lncRNA from 10 species